GCUGAGACAGCUCAGUUGGUAGAACAUGAGACACUUGAUUUCAAGAUCAUGGGUUUGAGCCCCACAUUGGGCA